rnacentral:rRNA from 2 species
UACGAAGGGGGCUAGCGUUGCUCGGAAUUACUGGGCGUAAAGGGCGCGUAGGCGGACAGUUUAGUCAGAGGUAAAAGCCCAGGGCUCAACCUUGGAACUGCCUUUGAUACUGACUGUCUUGAGUUCGGGAGAGGUGAGUGGAAUGCCGAGUGUAGAGGUGAAAUUCGUAGAUAUUCGGCGGAACACCAGUGGCGAAGGCGACUCACUGGCCCGAUACUGACGCUGAGGCGCGAAAGCGUGGGGAGCAAACAGG